rnacentral:sRNA from 1 species
ACUGCUGCCAACCUAUCUAUUGCUGCUAAGCUAUCCCUUGCUGUUAAGCUAUUACUGCUGUCAAUCUAUCUAUUGCUGCUAAGCUAUCCCUCGCUGCUAAGCUAUCCCUCACUGCUAAGCUAUCCCUCACUGCUAAGCUAUCGCUGCUGCCAAUCUAUCUAUUGCUGCUAAGCUAUCCCUCGCUGCUAAGCUAUCCCUCGCUGCCAAUCUAUCUAUUGCUGCUAAGCUAUCCCUCGCUGCUAAGCUAUCCCUCGCUGCUAAGCUAUCGCCGCUGCCAACCUAUCUAUUGCUGCUAACCUAUCCCUCACUGCUAAGCUAUCCCUCACUGGCUAUCCCUCACUACUAAGCUAUCUAUCACUGCUAAUCUAUCGCUGCCAACCUAUCUACCGUGGUGAAUCUAUCCAUCACUGCCAAUUUAUCUACCACUGUCAAUCUAUCUAUCACUGCUAAUUUAUCACUGCUAAUCUAUUGCUGCUGCUAAUCUAUCUAUCACUGCUGAUCUAUUGCUGCUAAUCUAUCACUGCUAAUCUAUCAUUGCUAAUCUAUCACUGCUAAUCUAUUGCUGCCAAUCUAUCUACCGCGGUGAAUCUAUCUAUUGCUGCCAAUCAACCUAUCUACCACUGUCAAUCUAUCUAUCACUGCCAAUCUAUUGCU